GGGCGGUUUUUCGGGCGCAGCAGUUUCAUUCUCAACACGCCGGAUGCGAUCCGGCAUGUGCUCGUUGAGAAUUACGAGAACUACACCCGCACUCCGGCCGGCAUCCGGGUGCUACGGCCGAUCCUCGGCGAGGGCCUUUUGCUGGCCGAGGGCAAGGCCUGGAAAAACCAGCGCCGCACGCUGGCGCCGGCCUUCGCACCGCGGGCCAUUCCGCUGCUCAUUCCGCACAUGCUGGCGGCGACCGACGAUGCCAUCGACGUGUUACGGACGCAGACCGGNCGAGGCCAUGCAGCGGCUGGCGCUCGAUAUUGCCGGGCGCACAAUGUUCUCGUUUGAGAUCGACAGGCACGGCCCGGCGCUGCGGGGCUUCGUGAACGACUACGGUGAGCGCCUCGCGCAGCCGCGCUUCUUCGAUCUGCUGCUGCCGCUGGGCUGG
rnacentral:misc_RNA from 1 species